GGGGUUGUGGCUCAGAGGUAGAGCACUCGCUUAGCAUGUGAGGCACUGGGUUUGAUCCUCAGCACCACA
rnacentral:tRNA from 1 species